UCUAAUAUGGCAGAUUAGUGCAUUAGAUUUAAGCUCUAAAAACAAAGAAAAACUUUUAUUAGAA
rnacentral:tRNA from 1 species